rnacentral:rRNA from 1 species
GAUGAACGCUGGCGGCGUGCCUAAUACAUGCAAGUCGAGCGAACAGAUGAGAAGCUUGCUUCUCUGAUGUUAGCGGCGGACGGGUGAGUAACACGUGGGUAACCUACCUAUAAGGCUGGGAUAACUCCGGGAAACCGGGGCUAAUACCGGAUAAUAUUUUGAACCGCAUGGUUCAAUAGUGAAAGACGGUUUCGGCUGUCACUUAUAGAUGGACCCGCGCCGUAUUAGCUAGUUGGUAAGGUAAUGGCUUACCAAGGCGACGAUACGUAGCCGACCUGAGAGGGGGGUCGGCCACACUGGAACUGAGACACGGUCCAGACUCCUACGGGAGGCAGCAGGAGGGAAUCUUCCGCAAUGGGCGAAAGCCUGACGGAGCAACGCCGCGUGAGUGAUGAAGGUCUUCGGAUCGUAAAACUCUGUUGUUAGGGAAGAACAAAUUUGUUAGUAACUGAACAAGUCUUGACGGUACCUAACCAGAAAGCCACGGCUAACUACGUGCCAGCAGCCGCCGUAA